rnacentral:rRNA from 1 species
UACGAAGGGGGCUAGCGUUGCUCGGAAUCACUGGGCGUAAAGGGUGCGUAGGCGGGUCUUUAAGUCAGGGGUGAAAUCCUGGAGCUCAACUCCAGAACUGCCUUUGAUACUGAAGAUCUUGAGUUCGGGAGAGGUGAGUGGAACUGCGAGUGUAGAGGUGAAAUGCGUAGAGAUCCGGAGGAACACCGAAGGCGAAGGCAGUGUCCUGGCGCGUAACUGACGCUGAGGUGCGAAAGCCAGGGGAGCGAACGGG